rnacentral:rRNA from 1 species
AUUGAACGCUGGCGGCAGGCCUAACACAUGCAAGUCGAGCGGUAGAGAGGUGCUUGCAUCUCUUGAGAGCGGCGGACGGGUGAGUAAUGCCUAGGAAUCUGCCUAGUGGUGGGGGAUAACGUUCGGAAACGGACGCUAAUACCGCAUACGUCCUACGGGAGAAAGCGGGGGAUCUUCGGACCUCGCGCCAUUAGAUGAGCCUAGGUCGGAUUAGCUAGUUGGUGAGGUAAUGGCUCACCAAGGCGACGAUCCGUAACUGGUCUGAGAGGAUGAUCAGUCACACUGGAACUGAGACACGGUCCAGACUCCUACGGGAGGCAGCAGUGGGGGAAUAUUGGACAAUGGGCGAAAGCCUGAUCCAGCCAUGCCGCGUGUGUGAAGAAGGUCUUCGGAUUGUAAAGCACUUUAAGUUGGGAGGAAGGGUAGUAACCUAAUACGUUGCUACUUUGACGUUACCGACAGAAUAAGCACCGGCUAACUUCGUG